AAAUGGCCAAGAUUAAGGCUCGGGACCUGCGCGGCAAGAAGAAGGAGGAGCUGUUGAAACAACUGGACGAUCUGAAGGUGGAAUUGUCCCAGCUACGGGUCGCCAAAGUGACAGGCGGCCGCGUCCAAGCUCUCCAAGAUACGAGUCGUUCGCAAGUCUAUCGCCCGAGUCCUCACUGUUAUUAACCAGACUCAAAAAGAAAACCUCAGGAAAUUCUACAAGGGCAAGAAAUACAAGCCCCUAGACCUGUGACCCAAGAAGACUAGAGCCAUGCGCCACCGGCUCACCAAGCACGAGGAGAAGCUGAAGACCAAGAAGCAGCAGCAGAAGGAGCGACUGUAUCCUCUGCGCAAGUAUGCAGUCAAGG
rnacentral:lncRNA from 1 species